rnacentral:rRNA from 1 species
UUGGCUCAGGAUGAACGCUGGCGGCGUGCUUAACACAUGCAAGUCGAACGGGGAUUAUUUGGAUGAGAGCUUCGGCAGGAUUCCGGAUAAUUCUAGUGGCGGGCGGGUGAGUAACGCGUGAGCAAUCUGUCCCAGACAGGGGAAUAACACUUGGAAACAGGUGCUAAUACCGCAUAAGACCACAGUAUCGCAUGGUACAGGGGUAAAAGGAGCAAUCCGGUUUGGGGUGAGUUCGCGUCCGAUUAGAUAGUUGGUGAGGUAACGGCCCACCAAGUCGACGAUCGGUAGCCGACCUGAGAGGGUGAUCGGCCACAUUGGAACUGAGAGACGGUCCAAACUCCUACGGGAGGCAGCAGUGGGGAAUA